rnacentral:rRNA from 1 species
UACGUAGGGUGCAAGCGUUAUCCGGAAUUAUUGGGCGUAAAGAGCUCGUAGGCGGUUUGUCGCGUCUGCUGUGAAAACUGGAGGCUCAACCCCCAGCCUGCAGUGGGUACGGGCAGACUAGAGUGCGGUAGGGGAGAUUGGAAUUCCUGGUGUAGCGGUGGAAUGCGCAGAUAUCAGGAGGAACACCGAUGGCGAAGGCAGAUCCUCUGGGCCGUAACUGACGCUGAGGAGCGAAAAGCAUGGGGGAGCGAACAGGG